rnacentral:rRNA from 1 species
AGUGAACGCUGGCGGUAGGCCUAACACAUGCAAGUCGAACGGCAGCACAGUAGGAGCUUGCUCUUAGGGGUGGCGCGUGGGGGACGGGUGAGGAAUACACCGGACUCUCCUUUUUCGUGGGGGAUAAUAUAGGGAAUCUUGCGCUAAUACCGCAUACGACCUGGGAGAGAAAGCAGGGUCUCUUCAGACCUUGCGCGAUUGAAAGACGCGCUGUCGGAUUAGCUAGUUGGCGGGGUAAGAGCCCACCAAGGCGACGAUCCGUAGCUGGUCUGAGAGGAUGAUCAGCCACACUGGAACUGAGACACGGUCCAGACUCCUACGGGAGGCAGCAGUGGGGAAUAUUGGACAAUGGGCGCAAGCCUUAUCCAGCCAUACCGCGUGGGUGAAGAAGGCCUUCGGGUUGUAAAGCCCUUUUGUUGGGAAAGAAAAGCAGCAGGUUAAUACCCCGCUGUUCUGACGGUACCCAAAGAAUAAGCACCGGCUAACUUCGUG